rnacentral:ncRNA from 1 species
CUUAUGGUCAGCUAUGGUGGUGCCUUCGAGUGAUCGGAGGCCAAAAGGGAACGCGGUUCAAAACCGCGGCUGUGCCCGCAACUGUAAGCGGAAAGGUCCGCGCAUCAUAAGCCACUGAAGCGUCAUCGCUUCGGGAAGGCAGCGCAUCAGACCAAUGACCCGCAAGCCAGGAGACCUGCCACCCCGUCGUCUUCCUU